GGUGAACGCUGGCGGCGUGCCUAAUACAUGCAAGUCGAGCGAACAGACGAGGAGCUUGCUCCUCUGACGUUAGCGGCGGACGGGUGAGUAACACGUGGAUAACCUACCUAUAAGACUGGGAUAACUUCGGGAAACCGGAGCUAGUACCGGAUAAUAUAUUGAACCGCAUGGUUCAAUAGUGAAAGACGGUUUUGCUGUCACUUAUAGAUGGAUCCGCGCCGCAUUAGCUAGUUGGUAAGGUAACGGCUUACCAAGGCAACGAUGCGUAGCCGACCUGAGAGGGUGAUCGGCCACACUGGAACUGAGACACGGUCCAGACUCCUACGGGAGGCAGCAGUAGGGAAUCUUCCGCAAUGGGCGAAAGCCUGACGGAGCAACGCCGCGUGAGUGAUGAAGGUCUUCGGAUCGUAAAACUCUGUUAUUAGGGAAGAACAAAUGUGUAAGUAACUAUGCACGUCUUGACGGUACCUAAUCAGAAAGCCACGGCUAACUACGUG
rnacentral:rRNA from 1 species